rnacentral:pre_miRNA from 1 species
AGGCAAGAUGUUGGCAUAGCUGAACGAAGCUUCGGAUUCAGCCGUGCUACAUAAGGCCAUGC